rnacentral:lncRNA from 7 species
AGGUGUGUCCAUCCAAGCCUAUGAAAUGACUCAUAAACAAUUUUAACUUGAACGUCCCCAGAGCGGUGCUUGGAAACUCGAUCCUACAGCUAAAUCAUUUAACAUCAUGCAGAACUCAUCCUUCCCACUGCAUCAAUCCAUUUUCUCUUGGCAAAGGAGAAAUUGCAAUCUGCCAGCCAGGGAUGCCCAUGUCUUGUGAGCAGCAGAGGGGUUCCCAGGUGGAUCCCCAAAGAUGGAGACAAGUUGUGGGGGGAUAAAAUACAAAGACUACAACUGCUGCAAUAGUUCACAGUCCAGUUUCAGAACUGAGAGGUUCUGCCCUGCAUUUUGCUAUGGGAUGGAUUCAUCUUGGAGACAGAUAUGAAAAGUUGAGGUAACCAGCUCAUAGUGAAGGAGUCAGAGUCCAGCUCACCACAGUCCCAUUGUGGUCAGCAGUGAUAUACACAGAGGAACCCCAGUGUACCCUUCCAGCUUCCCAUAAACAGAGUUAGGGGAAAAAAAGGCCCAGUAGCAUUUCAGAGUGAGACUGAGCAGCAGCAGCCUGUGGGCAUCAAUUGGAAAAGAGUGAGGAUGAAAGAUGCAUGACCCAGAGGAGGAGAAGGAUAAAAUGUGUUCCUUCGGAUACGAAAUUGAUUGCAAACCUACUGCUGUGAAUAAAACAGAGCUGUUCUUCUCAUACAAUGGACAGCUCCUGUUGUUUGGAGCCUGAGCUUGUGUUUCACUGCAGCAAAAGUGGUUGGAAGCACCAGGAUGGUGCUGAACAUGGGGCAGCUUGGCUCAGUAACCAUAUGGGCUUUUGGAGAUGUACACAGCAGGUGUCCCUUGGAGAGCACUCCUGGAGUCGAGGGUGAGGGUAUGUAUGCAUGGUCAGUGUACCUGAUGUGUACAAACCAACCUGGCUAAAAUCCUCUGCCCCAGCAUUUUUUAUACAAUACUUUGCCUCAGCUCAGUGAAAGCUAACCCCUUCCUGAGGGUCAGGCAUUCAUUGCAAAUCCUAUCAUGCUAGCAUCACUUCCACACUGCCCUGAUGCUUUCAGGACACAGAUCACAUGAUUUAGUGGGCAGUUACCAGCUGCGUGUGUAUGGGAUCACAUGCAUUGCACUGAAACUACCAUGUGACACAUCCUGGGCUUGAUUAGGAACAAAUCAAUAUUCAUUGGGCUAACUGGGUUGUUAUUUUUCCACUGCUCCACUAAUAUAACAGCCUGACUGGACUGUGUGUCUCUUUCUGACUCAGGCAGAAACGGUCAGUUAAAAUAUGCAUAUUGGAGAAAUAUCCUUCACCUUGCAUCUCACAAGAGUACUAGAAUGCAUUUAGCCAGAGUGCCCCCAUCUGCACAAUCCUGUCCAUGCAGGGAGAGGUGGAGUUGGGGGUCUGCUGCUUUCAAGAUGCUCAAAAUCCCUGUAUCUCUGCAAGGACAGCAAGAAUCGAUACAACUCUCCUAAAUCCCAUUUCUUAUUUAAUAUUUGU